GACGAACGCUGGCGGCGUGCUUAACACAUGCAAGUCGAACGGAAAGGCCCUGCUUUUGUGGGGUGCUCGAGUGGCGAACGGGUGAGUAACACGUGAGUAACCUGCCCUUGACUUUGGGAUAACUUCAGGAAACUGGGGCUAAUACCGGAUAGGAGCUCCUGCUGCAUGGUGGGGGUUGGAAAGUUUCGGCGGUUGGGGAUGGACUCGCGGCUUAUCAGCUUGUUGGUGGGGUAGGGGCUUACCAAGGCUUUGACGGGUAGCCGGCCUGAGAGGGUGACCGGCCCAAUGGGGCCGGAGAUACGGCCCGGACUCCAACGGGAGGCAGCAGUGGGGAAUAUUGCAUAAUGGGCGGAAGCCUGAUGCGGCAACGCCGCGUGCGGGAUGACGGCCUUCGGGUUGUAAACCGAUUUCGCCUGUGACGAGGCGUGAGUGACGGUAAUGGGUAAAGAAGCACCGGCUAACUACGUG
rnacentral:rRNA from 1 species